GAAAAGGUAAGGGGUUUGACAAAAAGAGGAAAAGCAGGGAAUUCAAGGAUUCAAAGUUUGGAUUUGGUGGUAGAAAAGGUUUAAAGAAGCAGAACACUGCUGACACUACCAACGAUUUCGGAGGAUUCCACAAAGGUGAUCGUUCUGCUAAAAACAACAAACGCGUUAAGAGAUAAUAGUUCUGCUCAUCAGUUACUAUUUUUUGUUGUACUAGAUCAAAGUUAUUCCUUUGUACUUUACUAGACCAAAGUUUAUUCCUUUGUU
rnacentral:misc_RNA from 1 species